CAUGCUGAAAUUGACAUGGUUGAUUUUGUAACACAAUUAUACACAUUCAAGUUCUGAAAUCGACAAUUGUCAUCGUCAUUGGAAUGCAACUGGAAUACACAUUCUGAGGUCACAUAGGUUCAAACAAUACUCAGUCCGGCAGUGGGCGGAGCUUUAAAGCGAUAUCUUCUGUAGGGCUGUAUCUGUAUAGUAGGACACCCAAUUGCAGGAUAAAAACUAUUAUCCUGCAAUUGGGUGUCCUACUAUACAGAUACAACCCUACAGAUAUCGCUAUGCUGUAUCUGUAUACUAUACAGAUAUCGCUUUAAGCUCCGCCCACUGCCGGACUGAGUAUUGUUUGAACCUGUGUGACCUCAGAAUGUGUAUUCCAGUUGCAUUCCAAUGACGAUGACAACUGUCGAUUUCAAAACCUGAAUGUGUAUGAUUGUGUUACAAAAUCAACCAUGUCAAUUUCAGCAUGCAUGUUUAGUGAAUGUCAAGUUUGAAGCGUAGGACAAGUCGUACACUUCUGUUUCAAAUUUGACAAUGUUUUGUUAUUUGUUUUUACUGUUGAAAUUAGUUGUUAUGUUAAAAUAGAUAAUUAUUCACCUUAAGCGAUGUAUUAUUGUUGACCAUUCGAGAUUCUUUUUUGCGAACCCGUCUUCAGCGUAAUGUGAUUUUGAUAUUACUACGCGGGCCUCAAGGGAUUACAAAUCGAAAAUAAAUGCUAAAUAUGUUAGUUUUUUGUGUCUUUCAAAACACAAACCAUAUACAGAAUUAAUUGCAGGAUAAAGACAAUAACUGUUUAGUGUCUUUAAAUAUCACCUGUAUUUGUACUCGGCUCGAAACAGGUGUAGUAGCUCGC
rnacentral:lncRNA from 1 species